GGUUCCUGCGCGCCCCGCCCGGGACGCGUGCGCACGGGCCGAGCGCGGGCCGCGCCUGCGAUAAUGGGCUGUCCGAGGAUUUCACCCCAGAAAUGGGAAGACUUUGCUUUCUCAUCGCUUCCCACAUUGAGAGGAUACGUGUCGCUUGACCUGUGCUCCUUUUCAACAAUCGGAGUGUCCUCUCCAAGUCUGUGUCCAGCUCUGCAAGCCUGCAGGACAUUCUCAGUGUCAUCAAUGAUCCACACAGCACUUCGAUGUGUCAGAAGUCCUUCCUGCGGGCUCCGUGAGCCCUGCUCGUGGAGCUGCUCAUCUCCCGCACGCUGGGGGCUUCCCUCGGAAAUUGGGCGACACUGACUGCAAGCUUGCCUUGGAGGUGGCGCUUCCCCAUGACGGCACCUGCUGGAUUUGUUUGCCACAACCCUUGGGGGUGACAAGGACGCCUCCUUGACCAAACUUUAGUCAGGCUUCUAGGAGCCCUCCUUUUGAAAAAGCUUCACCCUUGGCUUGCCAGAGUCCAGUUUUAGCAAAGAAUCCUGUUAGGCCAGUCUGUCUAGAGUCCCCCACCCUUGGUGUCCAGACAUGCUCCUCUUCCCCCCACCCUUG
rnacentral:lncRNA from 1 species